rnacentral:rRNA from 1 species
UACGGAGGGUGCAAGCGUUAAUCGGAAUUACUGGGCGUAAAGUGUGCGCAGGUGGCCGCGCAAGUCGAGUGUGAAAUCCCCGAGCUUAACUUGGGAAUUGCGCUCGAAACUACGUGGCUCGAGUGUGGCAGAGGAAGGUGGAAUUCCACGUGUAGCGGUGAAAUGCGUAGAGAUGUGGAGGAACACCGAUGGCGAAGGCAGCCUUCUGGGCCAACACUGACGCUCAUGCACGAAAGCGUGGGGAGCAAACAGG